UGCAGUCGCACGAUGAAGCCCUUCGGGGUGGAUUAGUGGCGAACGGGUGAGUAACACGUGGGCAAUCUGCCCUUCACUCUGGGACAAGCCCUGGAAACGGGGUCUAAUACCGGAUAACACCUUCGGCCUCCUGGCCGAAGGUUAAAAGCUCCGGCGGUGAAGGAUGAGCCCGCGGCCUAUCAGCUAGUUGGUGGGGUAAUGGCCUACCAAGGCGACGACGGGUAGCCGGCCUGAGAGGGCGACCGGCCACACUGGGACUGAGACACGGCCCAGACUCCUACGGGAGGCAGCAGUGGGGAAUAUUGCACAAUGGGCGAAAGCCUGAUGCAGCGACGCCGCGUGAGGGAUGACGGCCUUCGGGUUGUAAACCUCUUUCAGCAGGGAAGAAGCGAAAGUGACGGUACCUGCAGAAGAAGCGCCGGCUAACUACGUGCCAGCAGCCGCGGUAAUACGUAGGGCGCAAGCGUUGUCCGGAAUUAUUGGGCGUAAAGAGCUCGUAGGCGGCCAGUCGCGUCGGGUGUGAAAGACCGGGGCUUAACCCCGGUUCUGCAUUCGAUACGGGCUGGCUAGAGUGUGGUAGGGGAGAUCGGAAUUCCUGGUGUAGCGGUGAAAUGCGCAGAUAUCAGGAGGAACACCGGUGGCGAAGGCGGAUCUCUGGGCCAUUACUGACGCUGAGGAGCGAAAGCGUGGGGAGCGAACAGGAUUAGAUACCCUGGUAGUCCACGCCGUAAACGGUGGGAACUAGGUGUUGGCGACAUUCCACGUCGUCGGUGCCGCAGCUAACGCAUUAAGUUCCCCGCCUGGGGAGUACGGCCGCAAGGCUAAAACUCAAAGGAAU
rnacentral:rRNA from 1 species